rnacentral:rRNA from 1 species
CUAUACAUGACUCUGCGCAUAUCAAUAAGCGGAGGAAAAGAAACUAACAAGGAUUCCCCUAGUAACGGCGAGUGAAGCGGGAAGAGCUCAAAUUUGAAAUCUUAAAGGGUUUCCCUUUACGAAUUGUAGUUUAAAGAAGUGUUUUCUGUUGAGGUUUUGGUAAAAGUUCUUUGGAAUAGGACAUCAUAGAGGGUGAGAAUCCCGUAUUUGACCUUUACUUUCAACUUUGUGAUACACUUUCAAAGAGUCGGAUUGUUUGGGAAUGCAGUCCAAAAUGGGUGGUAAAUUUCAUCUAAAGCUAAAUAUUGGCGAGAGACCGAUAGCGAACAAGUACCGUGAGGGAAAGAUGAAAAGAACUUUGAAAAGAGAGUUAAACAGUACGUGAAAUUGUCAAAAGGGAAGCGUUUGACACCAGUGUUGUUUUUCUGAAAAUCAAUUAAAGAACUGUUUAUGCUAAGUUGUUUAGACUUUAUCAGCUAACUGUUUAGUUUUGAGCUUUUCUUUAAUGCACAUUUUCAGUUAACAAGUCAACAUCAAUUUCUUUUGCUGUAAAAAAGCUUGAGGAAGGUGGCUUGAGAUUCGUCUUAAGUGUUUAUAGCCUCUUGCCUAUGCAGUCGGAGAGAUUGAGGUCUGCAGCGUAGAUCCUUCGGGGCUAAAUGCAUUUGUGCUAAGUUAUAGCAUUUUAUAGACAACUUGUUGACUAUGAUUUGUCUUGUAGCUUACUCGCUUAUGUUAUUUUACCUACGCUUAGGAUGUUGAUCUACAGAGCGAGAGU